UUUAAUUUAUAUCACUUAACACUGUUUAUAAUUACAUGAUAUUAAUUUUUCGCUUAUCAAAAUAUUUUUUUAAAAAUUUAUAAAUUAUUUUUAAGAUCAGCUACGCCAGAAGACUUACUUUGAAGUUGUCCAGACGACUUCCAACAUCUCAGACGACUCAGACGACUUACUAGGGCUAUAUUCGUAAAAAUAGCUUAUGUUCUUUUGUUUGGUCAUAAGGAACUGGACUGUAAUUUCACAAGGUUUUUAGGUUAGUUUUGCAUUUGAUUCAAAUUUGGGUAUAGGUUUGGGAUUAAAGUCAAGUUGUGGGUUAGUUUUGGCAAAUUCACCUAUAAGAAAUAUAAAUAUAUUACAUUAAAUAUCUAUUUUAAUAUUUGAAUAAGUAAAUAUGCAAUAUAAGAAAAAAUAAAUAAUAAGGAAAUAUGCAGUAGAAGAAACACAAAUAUUUUGUUAAACAUUUAUCGUAGUAUUUUUAUUUAAUAAAAAAUAAAAAAAUAUUAGAAUAAAUAAAUAUACAAUAUAAUAAAAAUUUAAACAAUAAGUAAAUAUACAAUAUAAAAAAUAAAAUUAUUACAUUAAACAUCUAGCGUAAUAUUAGUAUAAGUAAAUAUACAAUAUAGAAGAAAUAAAUAAUAAAAAAUAUAUAAUAGAAAAAAUGGAAAUAAUAUAGUAUUAACUAUCUAUUUGAAAAAAGUUAAAUAAAAUAAAUAAUAAGUAAAUAUUAUAUUAAAUAUCUUUUAGUAUUAUCAUUUGAUAUAAAACAUCAAGAAUAGUUAGAUAAUUAAGAUUUGAAAAUCAAUAUAAUUCCUCGCAUAGCGCGGAUUAAUUCCUAGCAUACAAAAUAUAAGAAAUGAAAAAAAAAAAUAUUAAACAUCUAUCUGAAAAAUGUAUACAUUUUUAAAUAUUUCUAUAUGUAAAUAUACAAUAUAAGAAAAACAAACAUACAAUAUAAGAAAUACAAAAUAUUACAUUAAAUAUAUAUCGUAAUAUUAUUCUCUGAUAUAAAAGCAGAAAAAUAUAAUAAGUAAAUAUAAAAUAUAAGAAAAAAUUGAACAAUAAGUAAAGAGAAUUUGUACUUCCUACACACCAAAUAUCCCCUAUUUGCACUCCAUACUCUAUAUCCCUCCAAUUUUCUUCCCCCCAUCAUUACCAUUUUCCCCCAUUUGUAUGGUAUCUCACCCUUUUAAAUAUAUUGAGCUAAUUUGCUCAUAAGUAAAUAUAAAAUUAAUAAAUGAAAAAAAAAAUUAAACAUCUCUUUGAAAAAUAUAUAGUAAAAUAAAAAUCCUUACUAAGAAAAGAUACUUUUUGAGGUUCUAUUUAGCGUCCAUAUCAGCAAAAAAAAAACUUCUCUCGAAAGAUGCAACGUGUCUCUAUUAAACAAAUUUCCUAUUUUGUUUGUCUUCUUUCUAAUGGAUUUAUACGUAUUAGUAUUUUCUAGGUUUUAAAAAUUUAUUUGGGCCUAAAACUAACGAAGCUUCGCCCAAUAAACCCUUUCUCUUCCCCUAAUAAGCUCACCCUAUUUCCGGAGAUGUCUAAAUAGAAACGAUAAAAAGCUUCAUCUAAGCCACCGUUAUGUUUCGCAGUAAAAUCAUGCAAUCAAGUUCACACAAUCCCACAAACUCUUUUUCAAUGGAGCUUUAAUCAUAUCUUCAGUAGCCCAGUUCCGUAUAUAAAUACACCGGCUACAAGCAUAAGCCUAAUUUUUCAGAAUUCACAGGGUCUCUUAUUCAUUUAAGUGCUUCUUCGGUCAUGUAGACUUCUCAAAUUCGAUUUCAAGAGCUGAAGGCAUGCAGCUGCACACAAAGGGCAGUGAACUCAUGAAUGUUGACAUGCUGCUCACUGAUGUGAAGGCUUCGUUCAUCCAAGCCUCUGUAACCGUGCAUCGGAUCACCACAGUCAAAAAAUACACUUUGAAGAAAAUGAUCAAUGAGAGAUUGAGCCAGGCGAUCUUGGUGAGUGGUAAAAGCAGUGCUGGGAAUAUAGAGAGCAUAAAGAAGCUCAUGUGGUUACUCGCCUACAUGGGGGGAAAGUGUUGAUAGUAAAGAACGAUCUGUGGAGCAACAAAUUUUGGAGAUAUUCCAAUCCAGUUUUAGAAGCUUAUGGCAAUGCGAAAACCGAAAGAAACAGUACUUCACGGUAAAGUGGAUGGGUCUCAAGUUUGGUAAUUUGUCCAUUUUUAAUUAUAAUCCCUUGAACCUAAAUUUAAGAUACUUAGACAUAUCCCACGUUGCAAUUGUUUUGGUAAUUUGCUGGAGAUUCAAAACGACGACAGAGGAAUAAUCUCGGGAGCUAUAACAGGAUAUUUUUGUUAGAGAGGUUGUGGGUUUGUCAAGUUUAGUACUCUGAAAGAUAUUAUUAUGUAUUUUAUACGAUUUGUGCUGCACUAGAAAAGGUAAGCCUGAUUUCUUCUAUGGUGGUGAUAGGUUUAAAUUUUAGAUAUCAUGUAUGCGUUGGAUGGGUUAAUGAUUCCAAGGAAUACAUAAAUACAAGGAAAGCUAUUGACGAUGUUGGGCUUUGAUUCUGAAGAUCAGGAUGCAUUCUUCCGUGUAGUGGCUGCAUUCCUUCAUCUAGGGAACAUGGAGCUUGCAGAGGGUGAAGAAUGAGAAACUUCAGAAUCUUAAACUUGACGAGAAUCGUUCCGUUUAAACCUCAAAGUUGUUCAUGCUAACGCUAAGGAAUUCAUCGUAGCAAGAUGUUAAGCAACAUUGUGUUCGGAAUCAGUGUCAUAUGGUGUUGAUGUGGCAGUUUGGACUUCACGUCGUAUCAUUGAUCUAAUAAAGCUAGGAGUUUUAUAUCUAUCUAAGGUUCAAAUUCCUUUUAUUUGUCAGGGAAUCUCUUCGUUGAGACGUUCGAUCUAUUAUAAGGAAGAAAUCAACAUUUGAUUGCAGUAAAGGCAAAUUUAAUAAUAUAUUUCAAGAGGGAGGGUGACACUGAUAAAAAUACAGUAGAACGACAAAACCUCUCUUUUACUUUUUGCCAGCUCCAUCACCAGGCUGAGAGACAUUGUUUUAAGCAGCUUGGUUGUCUCACCACAUUGCCAAUCUUUUCAUGGAUAUUGCUUAACAUGUCAACAGUUUUGGAGAACUCAUUUUCUAAAUUAACAACAAAUUCGCUAGGCCCACCAGUGGCUCGAAUGGAGAUCACAUACGUGGCUUGCCUCCCCCUCCACUCAUGGUACCAGUGUUUUCAAAGAGAGUGCCGCCAUCUAAUAGUACAACUUUGAAUCCACAGAAACCUUGAUUUUUGGGAGGUAUUAGUCAUCUUCUUUUUCAUUAUAUCAGCUGAGCUUAGCUGAGUUCAUAUUACGGCAAGUAAAUAAAAUUUGUUGCUGCUGACAAAAAAAAUAAAAUAAUAAUAAUAAAUUUUGUUGCUAAGCCAGUCUUAAUGAGCAAACUAGAAUAAAUUUUUUUGCUAAGCCAGCCAUCUUCUAAUUUGUUGCUAAGAUAUAACAAAUAAAACAAUAACCUUUUUUUUUGUAAAAGAAUCCAAAUGUAUACAUGAUCUAAUCUAAAAAUACAUACACUUCAGGAAAAGGUAAAAAUUUCAUAAGAACAAAAAAGCAAGAUAAUCUAUUUAUGAUAUUUUUAAAAAUGUUCUUCAGAUCCAACAAACGAAAAAAUUAUUAUGAAUACCUUUUUAUUUUGUGGUUAAUUAGUAAUUACCAAACUUAAUCUUAUAAAUUAACAUAAAACUGAUGCAGCAAUGAUUAAUCAAAAUACAUUUUUAAAAUAACAAAAUUUAAUAAAUAAAAUAAUUAAACACCAUACAUGAUGCAUAUUCUAAUUAAUAAAGCAUCGUUUUUUUAAAAAACAAAAUUGCGCCACAACACCGUUUUUUGCUUUUUAAAAUUAAAGCAGAUAAAUAUUUGUUUAUUUAAAAAUACUAAAAUAAAUAAUUAUAAAAUUUGGAUAAGCUCCAUGAUACACAAUAAAUUUACAAAGAAAAUACGUCAUCCGUUUCUAAAUAAGUGUACUUUAGUCAACUAUAACAACUUUGUGAAAACAAAAAUAAAGUGAAUAGUUGGACGAGAACCACAAUAUACAAUAACCAUAUAAAACACAUAGAAACAUAUAUGAUAUAAAAUAUUAUCCAAUUCAACAAAUUACAAAUAUGUUAUUAUGUAGUCAACUGUAACAACUUUGGAUCGCAAUAUCGUAUACGUGUUCAAAUCAUUCUUAAAACAAACUCCCUAGACUUACAAAUUUGGAAGGUAAUCAGAUCAUUCUUUAGAAAAUAAAAGAACACCCAAGAGUAAAACAGCAAAAGAAAAAUUGCUGGAACACAAACACAAGAUAUGAAAUGAAACAAAAGAAAACACCGUUAGUUAAGUAAACACAAACACAACAUGUAAAAAAAAA